rfam:Ictidomys tridecemlineatus contig091961, whole genome shotgun sequence.
GGGGUUGUGGCUUAGUGGUAGAGCGCUUGCCUCGCAUGUGGGAGGUACUGGGUUCGAUCCUCAGCAUCACGU